rnacentral:misc_RNA from 1 species
GGACGCGUCCCAGGUGGCGGAUAGGGGGAGCUAAGCAUGGUCUUUUUCGACACAUUGGACAUAAUGGUCGAAAACGACGAUGCUAGCUCGAGAUAAGGCAGACCGGACUAGAUACAUUUUUGACAAAUGGUCUAACAAGCCUGUCAUAUCUAGAUGAGUGCAUGAAUCAGGACAAUCUUUUAUCACAUCAGUGGAUACAUUUUUGACAAAUGGCCUACUGAUAUGUAAAGAGAUGGUAGAGUGCUGAUAUGAUUUAUGGUACAUCUGAUAACAGGCGGUCAUAUAUGAUAACAGGACUUCUCCUGUUCCCCAUGCACAAAUCCGCGGACCAAAACUGUCAACCCCACCCCCAUCCCCAUAUUUCCCAAUCCACCUAGUUUAUCCCUCUUCAAUCCAAUCCCAAGAACCCAUUCCCUCAUCCCCCACUUGUAAGGUUAAGGUGGUUGGAAGCAGUGCCGAGAACCUGAAUGGCUAGUUAGUGGUUAAAGAGGACUAGUCGUUAACAGCUCCCCUCCGAUGCCAGGGCACGGAUCGGUUGUAAUGCUUAGCCUAGCCCACGUACGCCGUCCCUGCGUGGGUCGUCCACCCAUUACGCGCCUACUCGUGGGAAUCACAUGGAGAAAAAAACAAAUAAACAAACAAAAAACAAACAACCCGUGGAAAGCCAGUUGGGGAAACCUAAACUGGUGGACUGCAAACAGCCUGCUAUCCAACCUUCUGGUGAUAGCACGGCUGAACGCAGCGAGGAAAUCUUGUCCGUAGUGGCAAGCACCUCAUCAGCUGCACAAGCCUUAGCUGGUACGCCAGCAAAUACCCCUGCCUCGGGCACUGCGGACCAAGCAGUGACCCCGCGACUUCUGGACAGGUUGGAUCGUCGAACUCGAUGUCGGGUCCAACUAAUGCCCCCUCAACCGCCCUCACGGCUAACGAAAACCCCCCUAGUCGCAAAGAUCCAUCUAGGAAGGCUUUUGUUCAAAGGCGUGCCGCCAUGCGUUUAGUCGAGCGACUUGGAGUUAAGUCGGUCGAUACGCUUACCACGGACGAAAAAUCGUCCCUAGAUUGGGCUAAAGCCCUACUGGCUCAGCCGGAGUGUUCUGACCCUCCUACAACCUCAGAUGCAGCGGACCAAGCUACAUCUGCAGGGCCUAAACGGCAGCGAUCGGAGGAAGAACAUGCUCUCCAGGCAGUCCCACAGCCGAAGACUAAACGUCAGAAGCAGUUCGAGACUCGUAUAGUCAACAGACCCUACAGCGAAGUUGCCAAAAACCCGCUGGUUAGGGCCAUUGUUGACAAGAGUGUCAACGACGGAGCUAUCUCCCAGGAUAAAUGGUUGAUAAUCCGUCAAAAAAUGCUGGAGGUGUAUUGGAAAAUUCUCAAAGAGAAUCCCGGUCCAUCUCCGCAGAAUGAUGAUGCUGGCUGGUACCAAGGUCACAUCAAACUGCUGGCGUGCACGAACGAGCGCUCAGCAAACUUGCUUAAGUUGGCGGUUACGUCUAUAGGGGAAGUGUGGCCCGGCGCGAAACUUGACGUGAUCCCGGUUAGUGAGAUACCUCGCAGACCGAGAUCAAUCACGGUUAUUCCGGCGGAACCACACGAACCAGAGGCGAUUCUGGCGUACCUUCAGAGUGGAAACCCUGACCUACCUACCCACAAUUGGAAGGUAGUCAAGGUCUCCGAACCUGAAGGUGCUAACAGAAAGGCGGUCGUGGUCCUUAAUAAGGAAUCGGAUUUGAUAGUAUCAAGCUGCGCGUCUACCGGGGUGACGACAAACUAGACCCCAAACCGGUAAGCACGGACGGAGGAAAGGUAGACGAUACCACUAACUCUGACGACCAAAUGGACGCCCAAUCAAGUACAGACUUGAUUGGGAAUCUAUUUGAUAGCCAGGGCGAAGUGAUUGACGAAGACGAGCUUCUGAAAACAGACCCAGAAGACGCCGACGUCACAAUCGUCUACGACCCUGACCAAGAUGAAGGUGAUCCAAGUGAACCUUCACCACUCUAAAGCAGCUUCAGCUGCAUUACACCUCCACCUUGGAUAUCAAGGGGAGGAUAUAGCGUUGAUCCAAGAGCCGUGGACCCAUAACGGCAACAUACUUGGAAUCAACGUAAAAGGCUAUAAAAUACUAUACGCAAAAGGCACAGUGAUGAAGAUACAGUAACCGCAGCAUGGGAGACAGAGGAAUCCACAAUGUGGAUCCUCUCCUGCUAUAUGGCGCACGACCAGACAGACCCCCCGCCAAGUAACACGGUCGUCAGGGCAGUAAGUGCAGCAAACGGAAAACGCAUCCCUGUUAUUAUAGGCGCAGAUGCAAACGCACACCAUACACUAUGGGGUAGCACCAACAUCAACACACGAGGUAUCACAAAGGGACCAACAGGACCCAAGUGUGCGUCUUUGCAGCCUGAAUACCUAACCUAACCUAAGACUACAUAGUGAUCUUGAUAAUUUAAUUUUCUGGUGUAAUAAUAAUCACUUAAAAUUUAAUCUGAAUAAAUGUAUUCACAUUUCUUAUUCUCGUUA